UGCAAGUUUGCCGCAAGCUUGCAGCAAACAAUUGCCGCAAGCUUGCGGCAAAUCUAAUUUGCAUAAUUAUGUUUGCAGCAAGCUUGCCGCAAACUUCAUUUGCAUGGUAAAAUGGUUGUGGCAAUGUUUGCUGCAAACUUGCGGCAAACGUUUGCU
rnacentral:sRNA from 1 species